ensembl:lncRNA
AUUUUUUUUUUUUUUUUUUUUUUGUAUUUUUAGUAGAGACGGGGUUUCACCAUCUUGGCCAGGCUGAUCUUGAACUCCUGACCUCGUGAUCCACCCGUCUCGGCCUCCCAAAGUGCUGGGAUUACAGGUGUGAGCCAUGGCACCCAGACUUUAUCAAUUAUUUUCUAUCUUUUCUUUUGAAUACUUACUUUAAACUAUUCUGCUUUUUCAUAGCCAAAAUCCCUUUCUUAUUAUGAUUAUUUUAUUUUGCACCCUGCUAUGGUUUGAAUGUCUGUGUCUCCCCAAAAUUUAUAUAUUGAGACCUAACCCCCAAAGUGAUAGUAUUUGUAGAUGGGAACCUUUGGGAGGUGAUCAGGUCAUGAGAAUGGAACCCUUAUGCAUAGUAUUAGUGCCUUUAUAAAAAAGACCUGGGCCGGGCGCAGUGGCUCAAGCCUGUAAUCCUAGCACUUUGGGAGGCCGAGACGUGCGGAUCACGAGGUCAGGAGAUCGAGAUCAUCCUGGCUAACACGGUGAAACCCUGUCUCUACUAAAAAAUACAAAAAACUAGCCGGGCGAGAUGGCAGGCACCUGUAGUCCCAGCUACUCGGGAGGCUGAGGCAGGAGAAUGGCAUGAACCCGGGAGGCGGAGCUUGCAGUGAGCCGAGAUCGCACCACUGCACUCCAGCCUGGGCGACAGAGCAAGACUCUGUCUGAAAAAAAAAAAAAAAAAGAGAGAGAGACCCUAGGGAGAGACCCUAGGGAGCCAGUUCACCCCUUCUGCCACGUGAGGCCCCUGCAAGAAGACACUAUCUCUGAACCAGAAAGCAGGCCCUCUCCAGACACCAAAUCAGUGCCUUGAUCUUUGAUUCCAGUCCCUAGAACCAUGAGAAAUAAAUUUCUGUUGUUUAUAAACCACCCAGUGUAUCGUAUUUUGUUAUAGCAUCCCAAACAGUCUAAAAUACAUCCUCUCAUGGAUAAAAUGUCUCAUGGAUAAAAUGUCUUUUCUUAUUUCUCUAUAGAUAGUAACUAUGCCACUUUUAAAGAUUUGUUCUGUUGUUUCCUCUCUUUUGGUCUCUUUGUUUCAUGUUAGGACUUUCCAUAAACAUCUGGUAAUCUUUGGCUAUCUGUUAAGAUUUCAUUAUGAGGUACAGAGAACUGGUAGAGGGUUCUGUGUGCAUGAAGGUGGCUUAUUCUCAGAGGCGAUCUGGCACAGAACCAGCUUAUUCACUGAGGGGAGUCUCCCCAGUGUCUGAAUCUGAAAGUUUCUUCUCUGUGACCAUCCCGGUUUUUUCCAGAGUAGGAUCGUUUCCUGACUGACUGCCAGUGUUCUGGAAGCAGGUGCAGUAAAGAGCCUGAGAGUCCCACUAAUGUGUGCGUGAAAAUGAAUCCUUAGUCACCUUGUUCAUCCCUGACCCAUACUGCCCGACAAGGACUCUCAGGUCCCACAACUAAUUCUUUUUAACACGAGAAGGUAUUAAGAGGGUUAAGAGGUUCUCCAUGAUUCACCUACUAGUGUGAAUUCAUAUCUGUUCCUUUUGCUUUCCCCCCUGGCCCUUAGCUGAUAUCAACCGCCCUGAGGAAAUGGAAGUCUGAUUGGUCAGGAAGCAGGAAUAAAUGGGUAAUGUGGGGUCCCAGAUCCCCCUCAGCAGGCAAGCAGCCCAGAGGUGGGUAAAGUACAUUAGGAGAGGGUGCUGCAAUCCCGGGACUAGGGCCCUGGACCUGGACACCAAAAGGGAGUUGAGAAUGUAGAAAAGAAAACUUAUGCUCAAAUUGUGCUCAGAGCCAGGGCUCUAUGCAAAGCAGCAGCAGGUGACCUGAUUUCUCCCUCCUGCACUGCAGAGAACCUGCCCUCAAAGACCCAGAGCUCAGCUUCAGUAGAAGUUGAACAGCACUGUGCAAGCGACCCUGAGAACCCAGUCACCCUGGGAAAAAUGGUUUCUAGGGGAAAACACAUUCUUUGGUCCACACAACCAACUUACAAAUGAUCUUUUGGACCAUGUCCUGCCUGCAAACUGAGGCUCGAUUCACCUUUAAUGGGCCAGCUCUGGCGGUGCCAAGGGAGAGAGGCCAUUAGCAGAAAUGAAAAAAGCAAGAAAUCUUUUAGUCCAUUAGACUAAAAGAAGAUUUUUCAUGCUUUAUUAUUUAUGAUUUGCGACUUCAGUUACUGUUUCCUGGAACAAAUGUUAUGAUUCAGCUUCUAUUUACUGAAGCAAAUAGAUGCUUAUCAGUUGUCAUGCUACAAAUCACAAAGCAGUCAGUAAGGCCUUUGGGGCUGUGGCCUCUUUUGCAAUUCUUUGAUGUCUUGUCAGGUAACUUAUUUUCUGUGCCUCAGAGUUUCCAAAAGCUACCACAAUCUGAUGUGUGUGUGUGUGUGUGUACAUAUGUGCAUGUAUAUCUAUAUGUACUUUUUUCUCUCUCUCUCUCUCUAUAUAUAUGGCAUAUAAACACAGUAAAUUCAAAGAAUCGAGCAAAAGCAGAUUUUGGUUUUUACUUUAAGAAUAUCAUUUCACUUCCUGAAAAAUUAGGAAUUAGGAGUUUCAAGGAUACCACGUAGCAUUUAGACUUGAGUGGGAGCUAAGAAAGUUCAAAUGAGGGGAGGAAGAAAGUUCCUGGUCAGGCCCGGUAUAGUGACUAAGCCUGUAAUCCCAGCACUUUAGGAGGCUGAGGUGGGAGGAUUGUUUGAGCUCAGGAGUUUGAGAUCAGCCUGGGCAACCUAGCAAGAUUCUGAUCUCUAUUUAAAAAAAAAAUAAAAUAAAAUAAAGAAAAGAAAACCUGGGUCAGUGGCGUCAGUGAACCCUGGAGGAUGCUGUGAUCCUCUUGGUGGUGUCCCCAGCCUCUGCUU